rnacentral:tRNA from 42 species
GGGCCGUUAGCUCAGUCGGUAGAGCAACUGACUUUUAAUCAGUAGGUCGCUGGUUCGAACCCAGCACGGCUCACCA